rnacentral:SRP_RNA from 1 species
CGGCGGACUAGGCCGGGGGGUUCGGCGUCCCCUAUACCCGAAACCGCCGAUAUGCGGGGGCCGAAGUCCGAGGGGCGGUUCCCAAAUCCAGCGGCGGAAGCCGAGAGGAGCCAUGAGCCCCUGUCCCACGGGGCCGGCGGUGGGAGGGGCGGAGCUGAAGGGCUCCGUUAACUCCCUUUGCUCGCCGAACCCCGCAAGGCCCGGAAGGGAGCAGCGGUAGGCGGGACGUUCGGCGCUCGUGGGGUAGCGGGGGCGAGCAAGUCUCGGUGGAAGCCGCUGGAGGAGGGUUCCCACCCUCGGGCGUGUCCGCCG